rnacentral:rRNA from 1 species
AUACGGAGGAUGCGAGCGUUAUCCGGAUUUAUUGGGUUUAAAGGGUGCGUAGGCUGUUUGUCAAGUCAGGGGUGAAAUGCCGCGGCUUAACCGUGGAAUUGCCUUUGAUACUGGCAGGCUUGAAUACUGUUGCCGUGGGAGGAAUGAGUAGUGUAGCGGUUAAAUGCAUAGAUAUUACACAGAACACCGAUUGCGAAGGCAGCUAACGAAACAGCGAUUGACGCUGAGGCACGAAAGCGUGGGGAUCAAACAGGAUCAGAUACCCUGGUAGUCCACGCAGUAAACGAUGAUAACUAACCGUCGGCGAUACACAGUCGUUGGCCAAGCGAAAGCGAUAAGUUAUCCACCUGGGGAGUACGACCGCAAGGUUGAAACUCAAAGGAAUUGACGGGG